GUACACUCCUACGGGAGGCAGCAGUGGGGAAUAUUGCACAAUGGGCGCAAGCCUGAUGCAGCCAUGCCGCGUGUAUGAAGAAGGCCUUCGGGUUGUAAAGUACUUUCAGCGGGGAGGAAGGCGAUAAGGUUAAUAACCUUGUCGAUUGACGUUACCCGCAGAAGAAGCACCGGCUAACUCCGUGCCAGCAGCCGCGGUAAUACGGAGGGUGCAAGCGUUAAUCGGAAUUACUGGGCGUAAAGCGCACGCAGGCGGUCUGUCAAGUCGGAUGUGAAAUCCCCGGGCUCAACCUGGGAACUGCAUUCGAAACUGGCAGGCUAGAGUCUUGUAGAGGGGGGUAGAAUUCCAGGUGUAGCGGUGAAAUGCGUAGAGAUCUGGAGGAAUACCGGUGGCGAAGGCGGCCCCCUGGACAAAGACUGACGCUCAGGUGCGAAAGCGUGGGGAGCAAACAGGAUUAGAAACCCCGGUAGUCCC
rnacentral:rRNA from 1 species